CUUCCCUGCUCUCUCUUUCUCUCUCUCAGACAAAUGAACAGAAACAAGAGAGGGCUGACAGAAGCUCCUGAAAUCAAACGGGAGAAAACUAGAUCUCUCAGGAGGAGCUGGCCAAGUUUACCACCAAGGAACCAUCCAUCCGCAAUGAUAAUUCCAAAAUGUGUAACAGUGAAGUUCAUGGAUUUCAUAAACAAAGCAGUAAUUCUUGGGGCAGCAAGGCAUUUACAUCGCUUGUAAGAAAAAAAAGAAAAUCAGGCUGGUUUCAGGUAUCAUCGUGGCAGAGAAGACAAUGAAGCAAUAUGUAUGCAUUUCUCAAGAAAUAAAGUACCGCCCAAGAAUUU